rnacentral:rRNA from 1 species
UACAGAGGUCCCAAGCGUUACUGAGAAUCACUGGGUUUAAAGGGUGCGUAGGUGGUCCGUUAAGUCAGUUGUGAAAUCCCCGGGCUCAACCCGGGAACUGCUUCUGAUACUGGCGGACUUGAGGCCAGUAGGGGUCACUAGAACUGACGGUGGAGCGGUGAAAUGCGUAGAUAUCGUCAGGAAUGCCUGUGGUGAAGACGGGUGACUGGGCUGGUUCUGACACUGAGGCACGAAAGCGUGGGGAGCGAACGGG